rnacentral:rRNA from 1 species
GUGCCAGCCGCCGCGGUAAGACGAACCGUGCGAACGUUGUUCGGAAUCACUGGGCUUAAAGGGCGCGUAGGCGGACCGAAAAGUCAGGGGUGAAAUCCUCCAGCUUAACUGGAGAACAGCCUUUGAUACUGGCGGUCUCGAGGAAGGUAGGGGCAUGCGGAACUGAUGGUGGAGCGGUGAAAUGUGUUGAUAUCAUCAGGAACUCCGGUGGCGAAAGCGGCGUGCUGGACCUUUUCUGACGCUGAGGCGCGAAAGCCAGGGGAGCAAACGGGAUUAGAUACCCGCGUAGUCC